rnacentral:piRNA from 1 species
UAAGUUGACGAGAGUGACCACCCUUGG